CUCCAAACCUGCUCAAACCUGAUAUCUUCUGAGCCCGAGCCAAAGUCCUAUGCCCAAAUCUGAUGUCUCCUCAUAAGAAAACGUGGUAGACUGACAGCCUUUCAAGCCACAGUUCGACGCUGCACAACUCUGAAAUGUUCCGGACACGAUGUCUGCUCUUCUCCUGCGGUGUGCCGCAGUAAUAUCUGGGUUCCUCAUCUCUGUGAUUGGUGAAUUGGAAGCACCUGCUAUAUGCCAUUGCUCUACACAGGCCUUGGUUUGAAGCGCUUGCGUUGUGAUCGGAUAUAUAUAUAUAUAUGUAUAUAUAUAUAUGGCCGAUUGUGAAGUUCUGCAGGAUCAGGUCCGGGUAUUCUUCCUCUACCGCGUGGUGGGCUAUCUGUAGGUUUAUUAAUGGCCCUUCUUAACAGGAUUGAUGCUGUUGGUGGCCUCAGGGGCUAAGCUAGAUGCCUUUUUGGUAUGGUCGAUGAUCUCACCAGGCUCCCAAAAUGGAAUUUUGAUGGAUCAAGUACUGGUUUUGCAGCUGAAGUUUCCAUGUUUGGUAUCGAGCAAGAAUACACCCUAUUGAAGAAAGAGGUCAACUUUCCUAUUGGGUGGCCCACCGAAGGAUAUCCAGGACUGCAAGUUAGCUUAUAUAUAUCUUUAGGGUCCUUGCUACUGUGGUAUUGGUGCUGAUAAAGCCUUUGGACGGGACAUAGUUGAUGCUCAUUAAAUAGCAUGUCUGUAUACUGGUAUUAACAUAAGUGGCAUAAACGGGGAGGUUAUGCCUCGACAGGGUAAGUUUAACUUCUUGCAACCUUGUUGCUUCUCUGGGUGCCAAUUAAUAAUAACACUCCAGUCUAAGGUUAGAACUUCAGUAAGCAACUAUAUAACUGAACUGUUAAAGUGCCACAACUUUCUUGGACACACUAAAACCUUCCCCUUACCAAUGGCGCUGGACAGUGCUGAUGGAUUGUCAAAAUAUUAUAGCUCUUUAAUCUAAUCUAAGAAAAUUUUGGCACAAAAAGACCUAUUUAGGAUUCAAAACUAAAUCAAACCGCCACAGUUAUUGGUAUAUAUUCAUUUUUGCUACAGGGAGUGUCUGGUAUUUUUGGCUGUUACUAUUGCCCCCUGUUGUGUUGCUUUCAUUCAUGACAACCAAAAUAGAAUACACUUAGAUAGCACUCACAAGUGUGCACUCUGCACAAUGUGUAAAUGAGAGAGUAUUCUAAUCUCUACUCUACCCCCAUGCUAUAAACUUACCCUCCAAGCCCAGCCUCAAACUCUCCAAACCUCUGUCAAACAUAUGUAAUCUUAUCAACCUUUGUGAAUCAUUGCGCUUCUAAAUGAGAUUAACCUUAAUUACCUUAAACUUUAUAACUGUAAUUCAUCUUUUUUUUUUUUUUUUAAUUUUAAUUCUCACAAUUUUCUUAAUCAAUGUAUAAUUCUACCUGGUAUAGAUGGUUAAAGGAAACCUGUGUCCUCGAGCCUACUAUAGGUGCACCAUGGCUGUUGGCUGUCCAGUUCGGAAACAGAUGAUAUAAGGAAGAGUCUUAGGAGGUUUAUGUGACAUGUCUUACAUUUCCCCGAACCAAUUUUCUCAAACAGUUUAAGUUACCAAGAUGAUCAACUAUUUGUAAAAUUUCUUUUGAAUUAACCUCUGGUUUCAUAUUCUAUUGUAAUUUUUUAGUAAACAAGUUCUAAAUAUUGUUGUUAGUCAUUCUCUUUUCGUUGCAUUUAGAGCUGAAUUCAACAGAUUUUCACAUAUUGCACUUGCAAUAAACCUCUUUUUGAGGCAACAAUGGGUUUGUAAAUAUCAGUUUAUAAUUAAUUAUGUGUGUGCAAGUUGCUGAUGCGCAGAGAAGCAUAGGAACUGUGAAAGCAACAGCCGUUUAUCCUGCUGCGCAGCAGAUGCUCAUAUAUCAUGUCUCUUUCUGGUCCGGUCGAUGAUCCCAUCAAGCUCCCAAAAUGGAAUUACUUGGAUCAAGUACUGGUCAAGCACCAGGGGAUGAUAGUGAAGUGAUCGUAAAUCCUUAAGCAAUAUCUAAGGAUCUAUUCAGAAGGGCUAACCACAUAUUGGUAUACACACCAGCUGAUGAGCCAAUUCUUACAAACAACAGAUGUAAUGCGGCUAAGAUUUUCAGCCACCCUGAUUUGCAGCUGAUGUUCCUUGGUUCGGUAUUGCCAAUUGAAGAAAGAGGUCACCUAGCCUAUUGGGUGGCCCACCGAAGGAUAUCCGGACCGCAGGGUCCUUAUUAUUGUGGUAUUGGUGCUGAUAAAGCCUUUGGACGGGACAUAGUUGAUGCUCAUUACAAAGCAUCUUUGCAUUCUGGUAUUAACAUAAGCAGCAUAAAUGGGGAGGUUAUGCCUGGACAGGCUUGUAUACUGUAGGGAAAUGAAAAUAGUCAUAGAAAGGUUUCUCUAUAGGUCAGACACUUCAUCCCUUUACAGCAUAUUAUUUCCGAUCUCCGCACUGAAUGCUGGGAUAACAACUGUUCAUCCAUGGCCGAAGAAUACAAAAACAUUUUUAAUGGGAUCAACUUAAACAUCUGCUUCAAUCUGGAAAGGAGAAGGAAAAUAUCUGUUGUUCUGGUUGUCUCGGCACAUACAAACCUCCACCUCGACAAGACUCCAUAACUCAAAAUCACAAAUUAUCUGAAACAAAUUGUGUGUAAAGUAGGUAGAAAAGGAAGGUCUGGAAUUCUCAAUAUUUUGAGCAAAACCCAUUGAAUCCCCACAGUCUCAGCUCGGAAAUUAUUUAAAUCAGAGGCACCAGUUCUGUUCAAGAAAUGUGCUCACACUUCAUCUUAAGGAGAGCACUCCUCACAGACUCAGCUCAAAUAUUAUUUAAAUCAGAGACGCUUGGGACACAUGUAUCAGUCAAGUAUUAAUCAACUUGCUGUUAUUAUUGUUGUUAUUAUGUUAACACUCUGAAAGGAAUAAAUGAAAUUCAGGAUAA